rnacentral:rRNA from 1 species
CCUACGGGAGGCAGCAGUGGGGAAUUUUGGACAAUGGGGGAAACCCUGAUCCAGCCAUGCCGCGUGGGUGAUGAAGGUCUUCGGAUUGUAAAACCCUGUCAGGUGGAGCGAAUAUCAACUGGGCUAACAACUCAGUUGUAUGACGGUACCACCAAAGGAAGCCCCGGCUAACUACGUGCCAGCAGCCGCGGUAAUACGUAGGGGGCAAGCGUUGUUCGGAUUUACUGGGCGUAAAGAGCGCGUAGGCGGUUUGAUAAGUCAUGGGUGAAAGCCCUCAGCUCAACUGAGGUUACGCCCAUGAAACUGUCUGACUUGAGUUUAGGAGAGGAGAGCGGAAUUCCCAGUGUAGCGGUGAAAUGCGUAGAUAUUGGGAGGAACACCGGUGGCGAAGGCGGCUCUCUGGACUAAUACUGACGCUGAGGCGCGAAAGCUAGGGGAGCAAACGGGAUUAGAUACCCCGGUAGU